rnacentral:rRNA from 1 species
AGUUUGAUCCUGGCUCAGAUUAACAGCUGGCGGCAUGCGUAACCCAUUCAGUUCGAACGAGAAAAUCUCUUCGGAGGUGAGUAAAGUGGCGGACGGGUGAGUAGCACAUAGGAAUCUUCGCAAUAGUGGGGGAUAACUCGGGGAAACUCGAGCUAAUACCGCAUACGACCUACGGGGGAAAGCAGGGGAUCUUCGGACCUUGCGCUAUUGGAUGAGCCUAUGCCGGAGUAGCUUGUUGGUGAGGUGAUGGCUCACCAAGGCAGCGGUCUGUAGCUGGUCUGAGAGAACGAUCAGCCACACUGAGACUGAGACACGGCCCAGACUCCUACGGGAGGCAGCAGUGGGGAAUAUUAGACAAUGGGGGCAACCCUGAUCCAGCAAUGCCGCGUGUGUGAAGAAGGCCUGCGGGUUGUAAAGCACUUUCAAUCGUGAAGAAAAGCUUGAGAGUAGUAUUUUCAAGUCUUGGCGCUAGCGAUAGAAGAAGCACCGGCUAACUCCGUGCCAGCAGCCGCGGUAAUACGGAGGGUGCAAGCGUUAAUCGGAAUUACUGGGCGUAAAGAGCACGUAGGCGGUUUGGUCAGUCGGAUGUGAAAGCCCCGGGCUUAACUUGGGAAUUGCAUUCGAUACUGCCAGGCUGGAGUUUAGCAGAGGAAUGCGGAAUUCCGGGUGUAGCGGUGAAAUGCGUAGAUAUCCGGAAGAACAUCAGUGGCGAAGGCGGCAUUCUGGGCUAAAACUGCCGCUGAGAUGCGAGCGCGUGGGGAGCGAACAGGCUUNGNUNCCCUGUAAGG